rnacentral:rRNA from 1 species
GGACUCUCAGAGAAAAACUUUUUUUAAAUUAAAAGUUGAAAUUUUUUUAAUUUGUGCAGAAACAAUUAUUAAUAUUAAGGACAAGAAGACCCUAUGAAUUUAUUAAAUUUCAUUCAAUAUGUAAUUACUAUUCAAGAAAUUUUGGCUGGGGCGGCUAAAAAAUAUUUUAAACUUUUUAAAAAUAAAAUGAUCCAUUAUUAAUGAUUAUAUGUUAAAUACUCUAGGGAUAACAGCGUUAUAUUUUUUGAUAGACCAUAUUGACAAAAAAGUUUGCGACCUCGAUGUUGGAUUAGGAUACUUUUUUAAUGCAGAUAUUAAAAAAAGAAGUUUGUUCAACUUUCAAUUUCCUACUUGAUCUGAGUUCAGACCGGA